CUCCCACCCGGCGGAGGCGGGGCGGCUGAGCCUCUACCCGGCUGGCGGAGGUCCCCGCGCGGACCCGGCUGCGGGAGCUGCACGUUUGAACUCCAGAACAAGGGUCUUUAGCAUGCUACAAGCACAACAAUCAAGCAAAACUAGGACAAGCUUUAAUCCUUCCAAAUUGGGUGGAGUGGCUACUUUGCUUGUACGAGAAAGGCUAAACUGGCCUCCCUAGAACUCUAGAGUCCUCAAAGGCACCAGGAGGAGGAGGAUAAAGAAAAAAGAACAGAAGUGGAUUUAAAAUGAAAAUGGUGUUUUCAUGCACAAAAUGAAAGCCACAUGACAUCAUGGAAAUGCACUGUCGCAGCAUUUCCAAGAGUGAGAAAACAGGUAUUACAGGUCACUUGGUGGCAGAGGCACGUUCACCUCAAAAGAAGCUGAGCAUUCACAGUCAACACCUGGGUCACAAUACAGGGAAUAAUUCAGUAUCUUGUCUUUGAUUUGUAGCUCUAUUUUGUUUUGUUUUGUUUUUUAGUGUAUAAGAACUAUAAAUAAAAGAACAUUAUAUUCCUCCUUUAUAUUUGCCAGUUUA